UACUCAGUGCAAUAAACAGCUUAUUUCUUACAAAAUGUAAUAUAUCUUCAAUAAAAUAAUGUGCUGGGAAAUAUGAAAAUGUCCUGAAUAGUUCAACUGCGCUGUGCACUGUGUGAGUGUUUUGCAAUUACGCUCACGAAGCAAUUUGAUACACGUGACAUAGUAUAUAACACCCUGGAUAGCCAGCCAGCCGGUAUUUAGUACUGGGUCGACAUCGAUUGAACAUCACAUCAAAGUGCCUGGAGUUUUCAGAAUCAAUAUGAGUUUGCAGUCGAAAACCACCAGUUCCGUUUCAAGGUAAUGUGCGUCUGCUGAUCAAACCACUGGCGGAGACAUUGGACCAUGCAUUGUCGGGAGUCAUCCCGGGUGUAUAUACGCCCCCGGUGAAGGUCUGAAAAACAGGGUCGAGGUGUACAUCGCCGAGUCUCACCCAGGGUGUAGAUACGCCUCAAAUGAGGAUCCAAACACUUUUUCUGGGAGGAUGGUCGCUGAGUCUCACCCAGGGUGUAGGAUGGUCCGUACAUUGCAGGGUCUCACCCAGGGUGUAGAUACGCCCCUUACAAAGGUCAAGCAAACUAAGCACCUUUACAAAUCUGACUUCUUUCAUGCCGGUCAUAUGAAUUUGAUUACGUGGCUACGCAACUUUUUACAAAUUGACAUUUAAACAAAACCUAUUUCCAUGGACACUUAUAAUUUCGCCGACGUGAACACCUUAUUCCACGAGUAAACUAUAUGUCUUGAUAAGUGGCUGUAUUGAACGAUUACCGAAAACCACUGCAUUUGAACUGAUAUAUUAACUGAUAUAUUAACUGAUAUAUUAUCAGAACAUGAGAAUUAUACACGAACAAAUAAUUGUAAAGUAUAUAAUAAAUUGGAGUCUUCA